CGGGCAUCCUGUGCCUGAGCGGGAGGAAGCUGCGCGACUUCCCCGGCAGCGGCUGCGACCUGAGCGACACCACGCAAGCAGGGCACCUCAUGCAUGGCUACCGAGAAUCUCCUCCAUUGGUGAGUGGAAAGAAACCUUUGGUGUGUUCCAGUCGCAUGCAGCCUGGUGGGCUGAGAGAAAGUUCCUGUCAGUCUUAUUGCAGCAGCAGAAGCUAAGGGAUCCCUGGCUGUUUUCUCCUUUUCUCUUGAAGAACUUUUGAACAGCUGCAAGAAUGAUUUUGUAGCCAGAAGACUGCGUGCUGGUUUUAGCCAUUUUAGAGUAUCAAAUUCACAAGCAUAAGUGGCAAUGUCUAUUUUAGCCCACUGUUAGUUUAAACACUCCAGAAUGCUAUUUCUCCUUGGUGCAAAUGGUUGUAUAGCUGAGGAUAAGUAAGGCCAUAAAUACGAUACAACUUCCUGUCCCUCAGUCUACUGUCUGUCCACAAAGCACAGAAGCUGGGUCUCCUCUUCUCCAAAGAAGGCUGGAGAGCAGGGACAAAGUGAAGUUCCUUCUGUUCUCAGAGACAAUGGUGAACUUCCUACAGUUCUUGAAGAUGGUGGUGAAUUUCUCCCCAUUCUGGAAGGUGACAGCAAAGCUCCAGCAGUGUGGAUCAAGGGUGGCAAAUGUCUUGUGGUGUGGGAUGAGGAGUGGGAACAUCCUGCAGUGCAGGAAAAAGGACAGCAAAGAUCUUGCAGUGUGGGAGGAGGAGGUCAAACAUCCAGUGGUGUGUAAAGAGGAUGGCAAGCAUCAAGCAAUGUGGGAGAGGAGGGACGACAUCUCUCUGCAUGUGAAGAGCACCAUGAACAUCCCAGUGUUCGGGAAGAGGAUGGUGAAGCACCACCAUUUUGGGAAGAGGACAGCGAACCUUCCUCUGUUGAGGCAUCAUGGGCUAAGCAUUCUGACAGCAGCAUAGCCCUGCAGCCAGAGGGGAGAGGAGAGAAGUGCCUGAUGCAGCUGAGGAGCACUGUCAGCAUGGGGGAGCCUGCCAAGAAACACACUGAAGCUGAGCCAGUUGGCCAAGGCCCUGGAUUUCCUUCAUUUGAACUAGGUGAUCCAAAGAAAUCUGAAAAGCUCCAGCAUCCUUCUGGGAAUGGAUGGCCCUGUCAAGUGCUGUAACCACUGUCAAGGGUAGGUAUCCUUGGUCAGGCACAGUGUUCCCAGGAUGCAGGUGUGGGGCUGUGUCCCAGUGAUGACCAGUGGUGCUGGUGAGAGUGCCUGGACCCUGCUGCCAGCUGAGAGCAGCUGCAACGUUGCAGAGAGGUCUGGAAAAGAGCAGGGUGUCAAGAGGGGAUUGGCUUUGUGUAUGUCCCUUCCAGAGGGGAGGGAGUAAGAAUCUAAAGCUUCAAGUGAAUAAAUAAAAGCCACUGCCUCAAACCUGAGGGUAUCUUUAAGUGGCCAGUUGCAUAUUUCUUUGGCUCAGAGGACUUUUGCAGCUGGAUUCAGUAGUAAAUUCUCAGACCUAUAGCUGGGAAUUCUUUUGAUUUUUAAUUCCAGCUAACUCUUGACAGUGUUUGUUUUUGUCCUCAGCUGAUUUUGGCUUCUGCACUCAGCUGACCCCUGAGCAGGAUCAUCAGACCUCCAUGGUGGGCACUGUUUACUGAAUGGCCCCAGAAGUUUUGAUCAGUUCUCCUUAUGGCCCCAAGGUAGACAUCUGGUCCUUAGGGAUAGUGACCCAACAGUGUGUGGAAGGAGAACCUCCUUACUUCAGACAAACUGGCAGAUGUCCAAGUGUUUGCAUAGGCCUGUGUGCCCAGGAUGGCUCUGCACUGGGAUGAGCCACUGGAUGUUUGUGCACACGAUGGAAAGAAUUUCCCAGAGCACUCAAUGAAAUUGGCUGUCAGGGCAAGCUCGUUUACAUGAAGCUUGGCUGCAUCAGGGUUUGGGUUUUAUUGCUGGUACAGAAAAACGAUUUCUGAGCAGCAUCUCUGCCUGGGAGGACACUGCCCCUGGAGCCUGGGGCUCAGGACCUGGGGUUGCUGUGAGCAGCUGUGGGUGUGAAGGGAACUGGUGCAGCGUUGUGUUGGCUUUUCCCCCAGCUCACGCUCUGAUGGGGCAGAACGGGACCCGGCGUUGCUGCAGGAAUUGUGCAGCACAGCCUGGAGCUGGGUGAGGAGCGGUGCUGCUCUGCCUGGGAGCUGCUGCAGGUGAGUGCAGGGCAAACAGCGGUGCAAUAGUGGGGUUUUCCUGUCUGACCCCCGUCCUGUAAUCUGCAGUCUUGGUGGUUUGCAAACUGAGAGCAAGCAGAAUGAAUCCUAGACUGGUUUGGGUUGACAGGGGCCUUUCAGGGUCAUCUGGACCAGGUGCCCUGCAGUGAGCAGGGCCAUCUUCAAGCAGAUCAGGUGGCUCAGAACCCUGCCUGACCUAACCUUGAGUGAUUGCAGGGGUGAGGCACUUUGUGCAUCUCUGAGCAACUUCUGUCAGUUACCACAUUCUCCUUGUAAAAGUUUUUCUUUACAUCUUAUCUGAGUCUGCUGACCUUCCCUUGAGUUUAAAACCACUCUCCCUUGUUGCCCUAUUGCAACAGGGCCUGUAAGGAGCUUGAGUUUGGAAAGGAACGCUUAAUUUCUUUAUUCUUUGGGCAGCAUCCAUUUUUAUCAGCCAAGCCUCUCUCCAGCCUGACCCCUCUGAUCACUGCAGCAAAGCAGUUGAGGGAGCAGCAGAGAUGCAGCACUAGAAGACAGCUUUUUGUUAGGAUAGUUUGUUUUGGUAGUUAGGACAGCUAAUUUGAUAUGCUAGUUAUGACAGCCAGUUUGUUAAGCUAGUUAGGACAGCUAGUUUGUUAUGCUAGCUAGGACAAUUAGUUUUUUAUGCUCGUUUUUUGAAUAAAAACUCUUAAACCUCAACUCCCUUGAAGUAUCCCUUCCUUAUCACCCUAUGAUUCAGGUGACCGGGGCAAUGUGAGGGGAGAGCUGAGCCCUGGCAGAGCCCGGAGCAGGCUCAGCAUCUGCAAAGCCAAGCUGGAAGGAAGCUUCCAGGAAGCUUGGCAGGGAGAUACGAUCCCAGCAAUUCACAUUUGGUGGCCACCUGCGAGCCAAGAGAAGCAUCGGUCUGAGCUCGCUGCCCACCCCGCCACUCUCCGGGGGUCCCCGAGCAGGUGCUGCCGAAGCCGCCGCUCCCCAGUAGGGAUCCCACUCUGUACUGCUCCUGCAGGGCUUCCUUCGGCUUCCGUGUGGCGAGACGCGUCUGCAGCAUUCGGCCUGGCUCCAGGGACGGCCCCCGACUGCCCAUGGCCUGGCUUCUCUAUCGGGUGCCGGCGGCCGAGCGGCGGAGCUCGGGCCGGGGACCUCGGGAGGCGCGGGAGUGUUCGCGGCUCGUGUCCCCUAUGGAGCGACGGCGAGCCAGGCGAAGCCCCGGGACAGUGGGCCAGCUCCAGAGGUCAUCAGCUCCGCUGGUGCCUGCCCAGCAGCGCCGCAGCCUGAGCGGCCAGAGCCGGGCGGAGGCGGGACGGCCCGGGGCGGGGAGGGAGCGGGACACCGGCAGGGACAGGACGGGAGUAACAGCGGGAGCGGGGCCGGAGUGUCACUGCUAACGCCUCCGCCGUGCUGCCGGAGCCCGCGGCCGUUUGUCCGCUGGUCCGAGUGUCCCUUGCUCCGUCAGUCCGGUCCCCACCGGCUGAGCCCCGGGGCAGCACCGGCCACGCGGGGCCGCUGAGUUGCGGGGUGGGGGACGCGCCAGGCUCAUCCCUGCAUCAUUUAUGCAAUCAAAGACGCCGUAAUUGAUAAUUGACAAUGGAUCCCUGUCCCCCUUAGGUUUUAACUAUCUAAUGGGAGGCUAGGCUAGAUACCUUUAUGAGGGCCUACAUACGCUGAUCCACAUUUUCUUGAAUAUAAAAAUCCUUAAUUGAUUGCAAGAAUUUUAACCGUGGUAAUGCACAAACUUGCCGCAAGAUGGCAAGUUAUGACUGCAUUAGGCACCUCAUACCUCACAACUCCAGCGAGGCAGUCACCAGGAGAAACCAAACUAUGAUCACUGGGAUGGGGAACGAAUGUUUACGAGAAGCAUUUUAUGAAAUCUAGGUUCCUUUUCUCAAGAUUAAAAAUAGUUUUGAAUCUAUUCCUUUUCUCUGCCUUUUAACUUGCUAGGGUUCUCUGACACAGGAGGGCUAUUUUACACAGUAGUUUCUGGUUUGUUUGUUUUAAAAAGCAAAAAUAAAAAUUGAGACAAAAAUUGA